UUAAAGAAAGCGUAAUAGCUCACUGGUCGAGUCGGCCUGCGCGGAAGAUGUAACGGGGCUAAACCAUGCACCGAAGCUGCGGCAGCGACGCUUAUGCGUUGUUGGGUAGGGGAGCGUUCUGUAAGCCUGCGAAGGUGACCUGUGAGGGUUGCUGGAGGUAUCAGAAGUGCGAAUGCUGACAUAAGUAACGAUAAAGCGGGUGAAAAGCCCGCUCGCCGGAAGACCAAGGGUUCCUGUCCAACGUUAAU
rnacentral:rRNA from 1 species